GGAAUUCGGCGUCGGACUCGGAGCCCCGCGUAGUUCCGGAGGCGACUGCGACGCAUGGCGGCGAGCAGUGUGGAGAAGACGCGCGGGUGGCGGGGCCUUGCACUGCGGCGGCCCUCCGGCACCCUCGUGCUGCCCGCCUUCCUCCAAGCCCUAGGACCUCAUGCCCGGGAGGCAGCGUGGGCCCCAGGCCCGGGUACUCACUGCGCCUCCCGCAGACGCCGGCUUCCCGGCCCGGUUUCCAGCCCCGGGAAUCCUUCCACUGUCUGUCUCUGCCCAGGACAACCCGCGCGCAGUAACACCGACCCCAGAGCGCACCCGUUAGGCGAUGAAGGCACAAAAGAAGAGGAAGAAAACCUGGAACAGGGCCUCGGUGGCAAGUGGAGGCGAGAAGGCCUCAAAGAAACCCGCCCCAGAGGAAGUUCCCGGACUGUUGAACAUUUGCCUUGUGGUGUCUCCUCAGCUGUCCUCACACAUUCCAUCACCUUGUCUUAAUGGAUGAUCGUGCACUAGGAGUACGGGUUUUCAGCAGAGCUGUAUCACUUAAAGAACAAGGCUUACUAGUGGCUUCAGAGGAAGAGCGAGAAAGGCUUGAAAGAAGUGAAAAGAACAACCACAGACGCACUUUAAAGCAAGAAAAUGAAGAAAAAACAAAUGUUGAUAUGCUGUACAAAAAAGCGUAGAGAAGAAUUCGAAAGGAAAGAGAAACCAUGUAAGAAAGAAGUUGAAGCAAAACAACUUGGACCAACUGUUCAAUCACGAGAGAUGAAACCGGAGACUCUCAGAAGUACUCCAAAUCAGGAUUUUCAUAAUCAAGAAGAAAUGAAAGAUCUGAUGGGUGAAAAUUGCAUUUUGAAGACAAGUAUUGCUGUACUCAGGCAGGAAAUAUGCACAAUGAAAAAUGACAACCUGGAAAAAGAAAGUAAAUAUCGUAAGGACAUUAAAAUUGUUAAAGACAUAAACGCUGCCCUUGAAAAAAGUAUAAAACUCAAUGAGGAAAUGAUAAUAAAAACAGCAUUCCAGUAUCAACAAGAGCUUAGUGACCUCAAGACUGAGAAUACAAGGCUCAAUUCCAAACCGUUGAAGGAAAAAGAAAGCAAGGAAAGACUGCAAGCUGAAAUAGAAUCUUAUCAGUCUAGACUGUCUGCUGCUAUAAGUAAACACGGUGAAAGUAUGAAAACAGAAAGAAACCUAAGACUCCCUUUAGAGAGAACUACAAGACGUUUCUCUACAAGUAAAAAUGAGUUCUGAUACUUCCAAAGUAGAAGAUAAGAAUGAGUUUCUUACUGAACAACGUUCUAAAAGGCAAAUUAAAUUCAAUACCUUAAAAGACAAGUUUCAUAAGACAAGAGAUACUCUCAGAAAAAAUUCACUGUCUUCAGAAACUGUACAAAACUACCUAAGCCAAACACAGCAGCAAAUAAAAGAAAUGAAAAAGAUGUAUCAAAAUGCAGGAGCUAAGAUUGAAUAAGAAAAGAGCAAUGAUCAGCACCAAGCUCCUUAUGGAGAAAGAGCAGGUGAAUUAUUUUCUCAGCACUCUUCCUACAAGGCGAGACCCAGAGUCACCUUGUGUAGAAAAUCUUUCUAGUAUAGGACUCAACGGAAAAUAGAUUCCCCAGCUGCCCGUAAGAAUUCCUACUUCCAACCCACAGACUUCAAAUGACUGCAAGAACGACUUGACUGAGGUGGAGAGAGACUCCUGGAGACCAGUUGGAGCCAAGCCUCCAUUAUCUCCUGCUUGCAGGACUUCUGCAUGAAGCCAACACAUCCAAAUGUGCAUAAGACUUACGAACAGCAGACAAGCUCCAUGACAUCUUCUGAGAGUGAAGCUGUGCCGUGUCAGGGGUUGGGACAGCAGCAGCAAGGGAGAUCAGCCCGAGGCCUGGGGAGACACAGCCGGGAAAUCUCGGUGUGUGUAGCCCUGGGGUCUGAGGCCUCCAACUGUCCAUGUGGUUCCCACAGCUCAAGUCCAGCGUGUGAUCAUGACCUAGGACAGGGCCACUCAGAGCACAGUUCAUUUCAAAUGUGAUGGUGGCGCUGAAUGAUACACCAACAUGCCGGAAGAGAAUCGCCAGAACUCACGUGCAGAAGGCAUGGAUCAGGCCACUCCCAGCAAUACAGAUGCCCUCAGCACCCUGCAGCUGCCUCCCGCCUCCAUCCCCACACAGCAGCCUCCUGGGACAACAUCCUGCUUCCACCUUGCAGCUGCCUCCCGUCCCCCCGCCCCUCCCCACAGAGGCAUCCUGUGACAACAUCCUACUUCCACCCUGCAGCUGUCUCCCGUCCCCAACACACAGCGGCCUCCUGGGACAACAUCCUACUUGCCAGACACAGCCUGGAGCCCCCAAAGCAUGGACGGGCUUAGCGAGCCACACAGCAUUUCCCCUUCACACCUGGGAAGUCAGCCCCUCACUGAAGUGGGUCCUGCGCCCGCCAGCUGUGCACGAUCAGAGUCGUGAGGUUAUGGACCUGGUCACCCACAGUGCAGAGAGGCAUGAGGUCAUGGACCUGGUCACCCGCUGUGCAUGAUCAGAGGUGUGCGAGGUUCCAGACCUGCUCACCCACUAUGCACAAUCAGUGGUGUGAGGUUAUGGACCUGGUCACCCACUGUGCACGAUCAGAGCCGUGCGAGGUUACAGACCUGGUCACCAGCUGCACCCAAUCAGAAGCUUUUGAGGUUAGGGACCUGGUCACCCGCUGUGCACAGAAGUGUGAGGUUAUGGACCUGAUCACCUGCUGUGUCCAAUCAGAGCCAGGCAAUGUUACAGAUCUAGUCACCAGCUGCACCCAAUCAGAAGCUUUCAAGGUUAUGGACCUGGUCACCCACUGUAUCCAAUCAGAGGCAUGUAAGGUUAGGGACCAUGCACGUGGUGAUGGACCUAGUCACCCGCCAAGACUCCUGAUGUUUCCAGUGUCAUCCCAUCUUCCUUCAAAACUUGAAAAAUCUUUAGAUAUUUCCCAAAGCUCGUCCAUCUUUGAAAACGAUAUGUGUGCACACAGCCUGAACGUGCACGUACAUGCUCUGCUGCAGGUGCACUGCCGUAUGUGGACCAGCGACGCUCUUUCCUGCCUCGGAUUCUCGUCACUGCCUUCCGUAAAGCUCUCGCCUGCUUUACAGCCAUGCCAGCCAGGCCUGGUCAGCCACACAGUGAAAUUCCUGCAGUGUCAGAGCUAAGUGCUGGCUGAGACUUUAACAGCGAAGACAGCGGAGUAAUGGGGAUAAAGUGAACAAAACUGUAUUGUAACGCAGACGAAAGUCUAGAAGCAAAAGCAGCUGACACUCCUGAGAGAGCAGGCGACUGCGUCUCACUAUGAUGUUAAUAGCAACUUGCUGUUUCCUGCGCCUCCUUGUGCCAGGGUUUCCAGUCAUCAUUUGUGUUUAUCUGCUCCUGGGCUGCCUGAUCAAAUCUCUGUAGAGAUCAGAGAUAUCUAAAUUGACCCAGUAUCUGCACGCUGGCUGCUCAAAGGCCGUGGUGUGGAACAGCCAGGACAUCGCUUAGUCAUACGGGGCACAAGCACGUCACUUGCCACUCCUGUCUAUUUCAUCCAACCCUAUUUUCUCCUGAAUAUUGAGCAUAGCAAAGUCAUUAGCCUUUGAGAUGCAUUUGAGACAUCAACUUGCUUUAUUCAAGAGGUUUAAGACACAUGUAGGUCUUUCUUGCCAUGCUCAACACACAGGGCCGGCCGUUUCUGAAGUCAGUGAUUCUGGAACAAAAGCCUUGGCCUGCCCCUUGAACAUUCACGCUGAGCACACUGUCGCGAGGCUGCUUGGCCAGCCAGCAGAGGGCAGGAGAGAGCCGCAGGUGCCGCGUGGGGUCCCCGCAAACCCGCCUCACUCCCUCAAUCAAGGGCGGUGCCUCCUGCCAAUGUAGUGGCUUCCUCCAAGGGGGAAACGGCCUCUUCAGCUUCCACUGCACUGAUUUCAGAUGACUCAGCCAAUGGGGCCACAGAUUCAUCAGAGUUCCAUGUUGUUAAAGGAAAACUUCUGUUACCAGGCAACCUUAAUAUCAGAUUCAAUGUAAAAUAACCAAGAUUGUUUCCAAACAAACAUGCUACUAGUGCCUUAUCCUUCAAUGCUUCUUAAACACAGAGAAGUAUGAGGAAAAAGGAACAUGGCACUUCUUAAAAAAUAACACCUCUUCCAGGUUCAUUUUACCCAUAUCAUAAAGACUUAGAACUGUGGAUUCCCUACAGGAAUGUGGAGUGCGGGUGGAUCCCUACGUUGACCCAGCCUCCCCUCCAGGUCAGUCACCCCCCCACCACGGGGUUCACACCUCUCCAGGCCCUGUCACUUCAUCAAAGAAAGGUGACGUCUCUGAGCUCUCUUCGCAGGGAGCACCCAAACGGGAGCUAGAGAGACACAGACACACCCACAACUACUUGAAAAUCCUGAAAUGCGAUACAUAUUUAAGGACUUCAUUAUUAGUUUUUUAAAACUGUAAGAACAAAGUGAGCCUGCUUUUAACCUCUAUGCCACAACAACACCGUGUACAUCUGUCUUUUGCUGUUUGUUCCUUCUCCAGCAGCUGCUGCCUGGCUGGCGGACGGCAGAACUAGAGCCUCUGGUACUCCUGGGAGACCCUUGGUAAAAGCGUGAGCACCACGAUCACGUCUCAGGACGCCGCACACGUUAGGGUUGCCCACAGACCGCCAUUCCCAGUGCCUAUAAGGCACUGAACGGGCCUGCUGCUCUUUGUAAAUGUCAACCUUCCUAAGCUAUGUUGUGUUGAAAAAUUUUAACUGCAGUCCAUACGUA